rnacentral:rRNA from 1 species
AUGUGUUCACUACAAAAGCAAACCCUAAAAGACAAGAAGCUAGCCAAAAAUAAUCUUCUUAACCCCUACCCCUUUUACUCUAUAGAUCUCUUCCUGUCUCUCCUAACUAAGUUUAGGGAGAAUAUCAUACAGAAAUCAAUAUUAAAUGAAAACUUUGUGGAAACCAUAUUUUCAAGUUUCAAAAAAAUCUGUAACGAAUCCUACGUUGUGGAUGAUGAUGGAUGUAACUAUUCUCUCUUGAUACAAGGCCCCUGGCACGCGUGCAAGAAAAGCAAGUUGGUAAUACAGAUUCAAUGCUAG